GUAACAAGGUCUCCGUAGGUGAACCUGCGGAGGGAUCAUUACACAAAUAUGAAGGCGGGCUGGAACCUCUCGGGGUUACAGCCUUGCUGAAUUAUUCACCCUUGUCUUUUGCGUACUUCUUGUUUCCUUGGUGGGUUCGCCCACCACUAGGACAAACAUAAACCUUUUGUAAUUGCAAUCAGCGUCAGUAACAAAUUAAUAAUUACAACUUUCAACAACGGAUCUCUUGGUUCUGGCAUCGAUGAAGAACGCAGCGAAAUGCGAUAAGUAGUGUGAAUUGCAGAAUUCAGUGAAUCAUCGAAUCUUUGAACGCACAUUGCGCCCUUUGGUAUUCCAAAGGGCAUGCCUGUUCGAGCGUCAUUUGUACCCUCAAGCUUUGCUUGGUGUUGGGCGUCUUGUCUCUAGCUUUGCUGGAGACUCGCCUUAAAGUAAUUGGCAGCCGGCCUACUGGUUUCGGAGCGCAGCACAAGUCGCACUCUCUAUCAGCAAAGGUCUAGCAUCCAUUAAGCCUUUUUUUCAACUUUGACCUCGGAUCAG
rnacentral:rRNA from 1 species